AUUGGAAGAACAAGACUAAUUUUGCAUCAGAAGAGAGGAUGCUGAGCACUGGAAUUGGUGCCCCUGGAUUUGACCAGAAGGAAGAGUCUAACCCAGAAAAUUUGACUCCUUGAGACACGGAUUCUCUGGCAACCCCCGGCAUGUGCGUGGUCUUGGCUCAUCCAAAGACCCCUUGUUGAUUUUGCAUCUGGACAUAGUGGGCCAACAUUGUAUGAUGUACAAGGUGUCAGUAAAGCCUGCAGGGGAUCCUUCGAUCCUAGCAAAAUGACAAGUCUCAUUGUUCCUGUGAGGGAGCAGACAAAGAGACCAGAGGAUUUAACUCUUUCAAGUGAAUGCUAUCCUACUUUGAGUUCUGCCUUGAGAGGUACUUGAAGAUCCAGCCAAGUUUCAGGUCCUUGCUACUGAUAGACUUCAAGAUCCUGGGAACACAUCUGGGGGGCUCUCACUUCAUGGCUUCUAAAAGCAACAGCAAAGCAAACAACUAUUUUUGAGAAUUCUUGUAGUUAUAUGCACAAAGUUAAAUAUCUCAUAAAGUCACC
rnacentral:lncRNA from 1 species